rnacentral:rRNA from 1 species
GACGAACGCUGGCGGCGUGCCUAAUACAUGCAAGUUGAGCGCUGAAGGUUGGUACUUGUACCAACUGGAUGAGCAGCGAACGGGUGAGUAACGCGUGGGGAAUCUGCCUUUGAGCGGGGGCCACAAUUGGAAACGGAUUGCAAUUACCGCUUAAAAACUUAAAACAAAAGUUUAAAGUUUAAAAAGUGCAUUGGCACCACUAAAAGAGGAUCCCGCGUUGUAUUAGCUAGUUGGUGAGGUAAAGGCUCACCAAGGCGAUGAUACAUAGCCGACCUGAGAGGGUGAUCGGCCACAUUGGGACUGAGACACGGCCCAAACUCCUACGGGAGGCAGCAGUAGGGAAUCUUCGGCAAUGGACGAAAGUCUGACCGAGCAACGCCGCGUGAGUGAAGAAGGUUUUCGGAUCGUAAAACUCUGUUGGUAGAGAAGAACGUUGGUGAGAGUGGAAAGCUCAUCAAGUGACGGUAACUACCCAGAAAGGGACGGCUAACUACGUG